rnacentral:rRNA from 1 species
GAUGAACGCUGGCGGCGUGCCUAAUACAUGCAAGUCGAGCGAACAGAUAAGGAGCUUGCUCCUUUGACGUUAGCGGCGGACGGGUGAGUAACACGUGGGUAACCUACCUAUAAGACUGGGAUAACUUCGGGAAACCGGAGCUAAUACCGGAUAACAUUUGGAACCGCAUGGUUCUAAAGUGAAAGAUGGUUUUGCUAUCACUUAUAGAUGGACCCGCGCCGUAUUAGCUAGUUGGUAAGGUAACGGCUUACCAAGGCAACGAUACGUAGCCGACCUGAGAGGGUGAUCGGCCACACUGGAACUGAGACACGGUCCAGACUCCUACGGGAGGCAGCAGUAGGGAAUCUUCCGCAAUGGGCGAGAGCCUGACGGAGCAACGCCGCGUGAGUGAUGAAGGGUUUCGGCUCGUAAAACUCUGUUAUUAGGGAAGAACAAACGUGUAAGUAACUGUGCACGUCUUGACGGUACCUAAUCAGAAAGCCACGGCUAACUACGUG